rnacentral:rRNA from 1 species
UUGACGGGUAACGGAUAAUUGGGGUUCGAUUCCGGAGAGGGAGCCUGAGAAACGGCUACCACAUCUAAGGAAGGCAGCAGGCGCGUAAAUUAUUUUUUCCUGACGCAGGGAGGUAGUGACAAGAAAUAACGGGAGCGCGCAUCAAUGCGUUGUGAUUGGAAUGAGUUUAAUUUAAAAGGCUAUGCGAUUAUCAAUUGGGGGGCAAGUCUGGUGCCAGCAGCCGCGGUAAUUCCAGCUCCAAUAGGGUAUAUUAAAGUUGUUGCGGUUAAAAAGCUCGUAGUUGGACUUGUACGAAGGUUCGUUGGUCCGCCCUUUGGGUGUGUACUUUACGGUGUCCCUCGUCUCUCUGGAGAACGUUGCCAUGCUCACGCGUGGUGCGGUAUCCGGAGCAUUUACUUUGAGGAAAUUAGA